GGUUCUGUAGUGUAGUGGUUUAGCACUCUGGACUUUGAAUCCAGCGUCCCCGGUUCGAACCCGGGCAGAACCU
rfam:Micromonas sp. RCC299 chromosome 7, complete sequence.